rnacentral:tRNA from 4 species
GAGUUGUUAGUCUAAACAAGACAGUUGAUUUCGGCUCAACAAAUUAUGGUUAAACCCCAUAAUAACUCU